CCAGUUGUAAACUAUAGCAAGCAAUCCUGUGGUUGGGCUUCGGCCCGGCCAUGGGUAACAUGGAUAACCCUGGUAAUUCUGAGGCUAAUACAAGAACGUACAACCUGGCUGACCGGCAACGGAAGGCUGGGGAACGUGCAACGUAUCGUAAUGGAUACCAGGAAAGGGUGCACGUUUGGACCGCGCUAAAAACAGUCCUUGGUAAACCCUCACGGGCGAGCCUUGGCCUGAGCGGCUCUUGCGGUGUGCUUCUGACCUAUCAACUAGACGGCAGCGUAAGGGACAUGCUAUGGUUACAACGGGUACAGAGGAUAAGGGUUCGAUCCUGGAGAGUGGGCCUGAGAGAUUGCUCAUACUUCUAAGGAAGGCAGCAGGCGCGCAACGUUCCCCUUGGGCAAUGCUCGAGGGCGUUAGGGGACAUA
rnacentral:rRNA from 1 species